AAAGAUUAUGAUUCAAUGAACUCUUAACCCCUAAAAUAAUGUGGAAAAUUGUGAUGUGUGCAUAUAUGCAUUUUCUGGAGAGGAUUUAUUACUAUUAUUAGAUUCCCAUUACCUUGCACAGUGCCUGACACAUUGUUGAAUCUGACUAAAUAUUAGAGAGUGAAGAUGGGCUUAGAAAUCUAAUUACUCUGUAUUGACCAAAGUGAGAUGAGAGAGGUAAUCCAGAGCAAGGACUUUUUUCUACAAAAUCACUCCCAGUCUUCCUGAAGGAUGCCCCAGGAACCCUGAAGAAUGAAUCAAAACAUGCUUUCAGAUGCCUGUCGGUUGACUCCAGCUGAAUAGACUUCAUGGAAUAGUCCACAAGAUAGGAGGAUGGAAAAUAGUGCAGAAGCAAGACGGAUGGAGAAAACAGGAGCCAUGGCUCCUUAUACACUAGGUGGAGCAAGCGGGAGUCUUGGCCAGGCUGUAGGUGGUUACAGCCUCGCUUGAGGGGCAAGCAACUCCAAAUAGGUGUUCAGGAAUGGCUAGAGAUGAGGAGGAGGUAGAAGUUUCCAAAGGAUACCAGAUACGUUGGGCAGUCCUUUCACUUGGCACUAGACCCCCAUUAGUGCAUUGCUCACUAUGGGUAGGGAAUAAAAGUUUGAUGAAUUAAAGUUUUUCGUGAACUAUUUUGGAUCUGAGAAGGGACUGAAUCUAACCCAAACCCUCAACUAAUCAAC
rnacentral:lncRNA from 1 species